rnacentral:rRNA from 1 species
UUCCACGUUUUCCGCGCCGUAGCUAACGCAUUAAGUGCCCCGCCUGGGGAGUACGGCCGCAAGGCUAAAACUCAAAGGAAUUGACGGGGGCCCGCACAAGCGGCGGAGCAUGCGGAUUAAUUCGAUGCAACGCGAAGAACCUUACCAAGGCUUGACAUGGACCGGACCGCCGCAGAGAUGUGGUUUCUCCUUUUGAGGCCGGUUCACAGGUGGUGCAUGGUUGUCGUCAGCUCGUGUCGUGAGAUGUUGGGUUAAGUCCCGCAACGAGCGCAACCCUCGUUCCAUGUUGCCAGCACGUGAUGGUGGGGACUCAUGGGAGACUGCCGGGGUCAACUCGGAGGAAGGUGGGGACGACGUCAAAUCAUCAUGCCCCUUAUGUCUUGGGCUUCACGCAUGCUACAAUGGCCGGUACAAAGGGUUGCGAUACUGUGAGGUGGAGCUAAUCCCAAAAAGCCGGUCUCAGUUCGGAUUGGGGUCUGCAACUCGACCCCAUGAAGUCGGAGUCGCUAGUAAUCGCAGAUCAGCAACGCUGCGGUGAAUACGUUCCCGGGCCUUGUACACACCGCCCGUCAAGUCACGAAAGUUGGUAACACCCGAAGCCGGUGGCCUAACCCCUUGUGGGAGGGAGCCGUCGAAGGUGGGACUGGCGAUUGGGACUAAGUCGUAACAAGGUAACCGUAAAGGGCGAAUU